UACGAAGGGGACUAGCGUUGUUCGGAUUUACUGGGCGUAAAGCGCGCGUAGGCGGAUCGCUAAGUCAGGGGUGAAAUCCCAGGGCUCAACCCUGGAACUGCCUUUGAUACUGACGGUCUGGAGAUCGGGAGAGGUUGGUGGAAUGCUUGGUGUAGAGGUGAAAUUCGUAGAUAUCAAGCGGAACACCGGUGGCGAAGGCGGCCUUCUGGACAGUGACUGACGCUGAGACGCGAAAGCGUGGGGAGCAAACAGG
rnacentral:rRNA from 1 species